rnacentral:rRNA from 1 species
AUGGCAAGGUUAGCGAAGCAAAUAGUGACUAGAAGCUUGAUGCCACCCACUUUCAGAAGAUGCAUUUACUGGUCUAGGAAAAGGAACAGAGAAGAUAUUGCAGACCAAAGGAGGCUCCAGGCCAGGAGCGUCACGCCCAGGCCCAGCACAAGCAAACGAAAUUACACUGGCCCGCUACCCAAUUACGCUGCAUCUGAUUGCACCGUAACUCAAAAGCAGGAUUUGACUACAAGCCGUCUCAAACAAGAAGAUUCGACAGUACUAAUAGAUUCACAAACCAUCUUUAUCACCACCAUCAGCCACCACAGGCCACCUGGUGAACAGAAAAUAUCCUACUUCGUAUCACUAUUGUACAGUCAAGAUCUCAAAACUGUACGCUUGCUGUCACGACAAAGAAGAAUGCAAGCUCUGAUCUCAUGUCAAAUAUAG